rnacentral:rRNA from 1 species
AGUGAACGCUGGCGGUAGGCCUAACACAUGCAAGUCGAACGGCAGCACAGUAAGAGCUUGCUCUUACGGGUGGCGAGUGGCGGACGGGUGAGGAAUACAUCGGAAUCUACUUUUUCGUGGGGGAUAACGUAGGGAAACUUACGCUAAUACCGCAUACGACCUACGGGUGAAAGCAGGGGAUCUUCGGACCUUGCGUGAUUGAAUGAGCCGAUGUCGGAUUAGCUAGUUGGCGGGGUAAAGGCCCACCAAGGCGACGAUCCGUAGCUGGUCUGAGAGGAUGAUCAGCCACACUGGAACUGAGACACGGUCCAGACUCCUACGGGAGGCAGCAGUGGGGAAUAUUGGACAAUGGGCGCAAGCCUGAUCCAGCCAUACCGCGUGGGUGAAGAAGGUCUUCGGGUUGUAAAGCCCUUUUGUUGGGAAAGAAAAGCAGCAGGUUAAUACCCCGCUGUUCUGACGGUACCCAAAGAAUAAGCACCGGCUAACUUCGUG